UUUAGACUCUAGAUGGUUCAGGUCAAGCCUGUUGCUGUGCAGGGAGGAAAAUGGGGGUUGAGAGAAUGGAGAUUUGUGGUCCCAGAGAUGUGAAUUUUGUGAUUUAUCCAGUGUUUUUGGUGACUCAUGUUUUGAGCACUUUGGUCAGUUUCUCAUGGAAGUCGAGGACGACGACAUCAGUAUCUCACUGUAGACUCAGCAAUCAAACUCAUUUCUCAGUGAGGCCAUCACUCACCCAGUCCGAGAAUAUAGCCCCUCCAGUUAGACUAGGGACAGAAUAUAAGAUGUUUAACAGGCACAGUGUAAGGAAGAGCGUGACUAUUCAACAAAAUACAACCAGUAACUGCAUCGUGAGAUAAUAACCACCCCUGCCUAUGUUUUCUGUCUUGCCCUGCAGUGCUGCACCCUCUGUCCACCCUCAGCCCCCACAGCUGGUGCUGAAUAUUGGAGAGGCUGCAUAAUGGGUCCUUUUUCCAGGAAGGGGCCUGGAUUAAUUACCUUAAUAGUCUUUUUUUUGUCUUUUUGUUUGUUUGUUUGUUUUUGCUUUUUAGGGCUGCACCCGAGGCAUAAGGAAGUUCCCGGGGUAGGAGUCAAAUCAGAGCUACAGCUGCUGGCCUUUGCCAUAGUCACAGCAAUGGGGAAUCCGAGCCGUGUCUGCGACCUACACCACAGCUCACAGCAAUUCCAGAUCCUUAACCCACUGAGUGAGGCCAGGGAUGAAGCCCACAUCUUCAUGGAUCCUAGUCGGGUUCAUUAACCACUGAGCCACAAAGGGGACUCCUAACUUAAUAGUCUUAGGUGGGGCCUUGUAGAAAACAAGUGAGAUCUAAAUUCCCUUUUUUUUUUGGUCUUAUGUCUUUGUGGCAUAUGGAGGUUCCCAGGCUAGGGGUCUAAUUGGAACUGUUGCUGCUGGCCUACGCCAGAGCCACAGCACUGCCAGAUCUGAGCUGUGUCUGCGAGCUACACCACAGCUCACGGCAACACUGGAUCCUUAACCCACUGAGCGAGGCCAGGGAUCGAACCCCGCCACCUCAUGGUUCCUAGUCGGAUUCGUUUCCACUGUGCCACGACGGGAACUCCUAAAUUCCUUUCUAAUCCCAUCCCUACUGAGACAGCAAAGCCAAAUCACCAGGGAUUUACCUGCCAGUCUCGGGGCCACAUUUUAAUGUUCCCCUGGGG
rnacentral:lncRNA from 1 species